rnacentral:lncRNA from 1 species
GUCGAUGAGCCAAGGGAACGUGUCCUGUGCUGUUUGCAAUAGCAUGCUCUGCAGAAAAUUGAGGAGGGAGCCAGAAGCCUUAAGAUGGUGACUUAACCCAGGUGAAAAGCAUUAUGUUGUGGUUCACAGGGAAAUGGAUGAAGGCUAUGGAUAAAGUUUUUUCCCUUCACAUCUCAGUGAGCUUGACAUGGUGUAAGAAACAUCCUGCCGGGCAGUGGUGGUGCACGCCUUUAAUCCCAGCACUAGUUAAGAAGACAGUGUCGGGGCUGGUGAGAUGGCUCAGCGGUUAAG